rnacentral:rRNA from 1 species
AUUGAACGCUGGCGGCAUGCCUUACACAUGCAAGUCGAACGGCAGCGCGGACUUCGGUCUGGCGGCGAGUGGCGAACGGGUGAGUAAUACAUCGGAACGUACCCUGUUGUGGGGGAUAACUAGUCGAAAGAUUAGCUAAUACCGCAUACGACCUGAGGGUGAAAGUGGGGGACCGGAAACGGCCUCAUGCAGCAGGAGCGGCCGAUGUCUGAUUAGCUAGUUGGUGGGGUAAAGGCCCACCAAGGCGACGAUCAGUAGCUGGUCUGAGAGGACGAUCAGCCACACUGGGACUGAGACACGGCCCAGACUCCUACGGGAGGCAGCAGUGGGGAAUUUUGGACAAUGGGGGCAACCCUGAUCCAGCAAUGCCGCGUGUGUGAAGAAGGCCUUCGGGUUGUAAAGCACUUUUGUCCGGAAAGAAAUCGCGCCGGUUAAUACCUGGCGUGGAUGACGGUACCGGAAGAAUAAGCACCGGCUAACUACGUG